rnacentral:rRNA from 1 species
UCCAGACUCCUACGGGAGGCAGCAGUGGGGGAUAUUGCACAAUGGGGGAAACCCUGAUGCAGCAACGCCGCGUGAGUGAAGAAGUAUUUCGGUAUGUAAAGCUCUAUCAGCAGGGAAGAGAAUGACGGUACCUGACUAAGAAGCCCCGGCUAACUACGUGCCAGCAGCCGCGGUAAUACGUAGGGGGCGAGCGUUAUCCGGAUUUACUGGGUGUAAAGGGAGCGUAGACGGCUGGUCAAGUCUGAAGUGAAAGCCCGGGGCUUAACCCCGGAACGGCUUUGGAAACUGAGCAGCUAGAGUGCUGGAGAGGUAAGCGGAAUUCCUAGUGUAGCGGUGAAAUGCGUAGAUAUUAGGAGGAACACCAGUGGCGAAGGCGGCUUACUGGACAGUAACUGACGUUGAGGCUCGAAAGCGUGGGGAGCAAACAGGAUUAGAUACCCUCGUA